AUUGAACGCUGGCGGCAGGCUUAACACAUGCAAGUCGAGCGAGCGGCGGACGGGUGAGUAAUGUCUGGGAACGUGCCUGAUGGAGGGGGAUAACUACUGGAAACGGUGGCUAAUACCGCAUACCAUCAGAUCUGCCCAGAGGGGAUUAGCUAGUUGGUGGGGUAAAGGCUCACCGAGGCGACGAUCCAUAGCUGGUCUGAGAGGAUGACCAGCCACACUGGGACUGAGACACGGCCCAGACUCCUACGGGAGGCAGCAGUGGGGAAUAUUGGACAAUGGGCGAAAGCCUGAUCCAGCCAUGCCGCGUGUGUGAAGAAGGCCUUCGGGUUGUAAAGCACUUUCGGCAGAGAGGCGGUACCCGCAGAAGAAGCACCGGCUAACUACGUGCCAGCAGCCGCGGUAAUUC
rnacentral:rRNA from 1 species